AUUUUUUUAUUUCUUCUUCUUCAACCGAUUUUCUCCCAAGAAAUGGUCAUGGAAGCUUGAAAAAUUUCAGCAACUUUAAGCCUUCAUAGAUCAAGAGAAACGUGAUUCGGGGCUUGAUCGGGGUAAGAAUAAAGUUUACGGGGAUUAAGCUCGUCUUCAUCAUUUUGUAUUGAGUGCUGCCAAGCUAGCAUCGGGGAUCCAAUGACAUCAAAAGCUUCAAUCACAAUAUCACUCAAUAUCUUGGUAUAGCUAGUUUCAUUGUUAUGUUUUCUAGCAUGUAUAGGGACUCGAGUCGUUGUUUAGUGUUUUGUUAGUUAGCCAUAAUAUUUUGGCUAAUAUGAUGAAUAUGAUACUUAUUUUGUAUAAGGGCAUGGAUGUUGGUCAAUACCCCUUUUGAUUUAUAAAUAGAAUAUGAUUUUUUCAUGGAUGAGUAAAUUACAUAAAUGAAA